UCCCACCCAGAGGCUUUAAAUGUCUGACAACUUCCUGGUAGAAAUAUUGCUAUGCAGGAAAACCUCAGAUGCCUGUCUCUUAAGUUUAAACCUAUGUAUAACAAAAAGGCCUUCAUACACCACUACACUAGAGAGGGCUUAAGUGAAUCCGAAUUCACUGAAGCACAAGAAGAUUUAAAUGAUUUGAUUUCUGAUUAUCAGAGUUUUCAGGAUUGCGGAAAAGGGGAGGAAAAAAAAAAAUCUAAAUCAAACAAAAAGCGAGCAUCUCAGAAUGCAAAGAAAUAUUCAAGAGACGGAUCUCUCAGAGACAAUGCUUCAAAGACGACUACAGAACUUGGACCACCACCACCACCUAAUAAUGGGGGAAAGCCAAGCACUUCAAGGAAAUUUAAGCCCCCAAAUGAAACAAGAUCAGACACUAAUCAACCAAGAAAGGUGAACUCCAAAGUGAAAUCUUGUAACAAACCAGAAGUAGUAUAUAAUUGCUGUAUCAGCAGUUAUUUAUUCGUCUCAAAUUAAGAUCUUCAGAAGGAACUAGAAGCUGGAGAGACAGUAAUUCCUUCCUCUACAGUGUGGCUUAAGCUCUAUGAAGAUGGAAGAACAGUGGAAAGGCCAAAAAAAAAAGUUGACAAUUGUUGCAUCGAAGGGUAAAAAAUUGUCAACUUGAUAAUGCAAAGACUAAAUACAUAGUACUGGAAAAAGGUAAAUUUUUUUCUCACUUUGAUGAAACUCACAUUUCAUUCAAGUCAAUAAUAAAACUCUUCUCAAAAGAACGUGAACCCA
rnacentral:lncRNA from 1 species